rnacentral:rRNA from 1 species
GCCAGCAGCUAUAUCAGAUGCAACUCACAAGUGGCAACCCACUGAAGCUCAGCAGGUGUGAGCCUGGCCAGUACCUGGAUGGGAGACCUCCUGGGAAAAACUAAGGUUACUGCUGGAA